rnacentral:rRNA from 1 species
CACGUAGGGCGCAAGCGUUGUCCGGAAUUACUGGGCGUAAAGAGUGUGUAGGCGGUGCUCUAAGUUCGGUGUGAAAUCUCUCGCUUAACUGGGAGGGUGCGCCGGAAACUGGAGUGCUCGAACGUGGGAGAGGAAAGCGGAAUUCCUGGUGUAGCGGUGAAAUGCGUAGAUAUCAGGAGGAACACCGAUUGCGAAGGCAGCUCGCUGGAACGUUACUGACGCU